rnacentral:misc_RNA from 1 species
AUGUGCUCAUCCUUUCUUUGAUGAACUUCGUGAACCAAAUGCACGGCUUCCCAAUGGUCGCCCAUUGCCCCCUCUCUUCAAUUUUAAGCAGGAGUUAUCUGGUGCCUCUCCGGACCUCGUAAACAGGUUGAUACCAGACCAUAUAAAAAGACAGAUGGGCCUGCAUCUUUUUGCAUCCCACGGCGACAUGACGUGAAGUAUAUGUUUAGUGAAGUAUACUAGUUUAUGAUCUAUAUAUGAAGGGAUCCAAGUGACACCCCUUCCAGAGCAGAGGAGUCCAGCAUGACAGCGACAGUAUAUCCUGGUCGAAAAGGACAAUGUAAUGGGGCUGCAGUGCAUUUUAGUUCUGUACUUUGUAUUAUCUUUUUUGUUCCACUCUUCAAAGUCUUCCCAUCUUAGUAGCCAACUAGUGAAAAGGAAAUAUGUUUUUGUACAUGUUUGUUAGUAGUAAAUUGACCAGAAAGCUUCCGGGGACACGUUUGAAUAUGUAUGGACAAGUUGCAAGGCUCCAAAAGGAUUGCCAGGACUUGAAAGGGCAGUAUUUUUUUUUCCCGUAAGUUUAUAUCUCACUUCAGUUUGUAUUUAGCAGUCUACUUUGAAAAGAGUUGCGAGCAAAUUUGUGUUACAGUUGCUCUAUGUGAUUAUGAUCAAUCAAACGUAUCUAUUUUGUUGCA